GCCCUUCCAUGCAUCUUACCUUUCUCUCUCCUCUCUCUCUCACUCUCUCUGCCCCUGCCCUUUUUGUCUCUUCCCCCUCACUAUUCCCUCUCUGUCUCUUCCCCCCUCUCUCUCUCUUUGAUUUGAAUUCCGACGAACCCAAGCCACCAUUCUUAUCAACUAGCUGCCGAGAGGUUGAAAGAGAGUAGAAUUACCGGAAUAAAUCCUGAGUUUAUUUGCUCGAAAAUUGACAUGCAAGUUCAGAAAUCAAAUUAAACCACUUGGGUCUUGCACUGUCAGCUAGAAUUCCCAUUCUAAUUUCAAGUUGAACAUUGGCUAUAUGGGUUUUUGUGUUUAUGCUGUUAUGGGUUGCUAGUGAUUAAUUGGGAUUUUGGUUUUGAUUUUGUUUGUGUAAUGGGAUUUCAUGUUCAAGGCCUUGGUUGGAUUUGGUUAGGGUUUUAUUUUUUUGGGUUUAAUAGGAUUGAUGAACAUUUAAAUCGAAUUUUUGGUUGGUGUGUUAUUUGGAUUUGAAAUUGAUUUUGGUAUUUGGGUUCGGCUCUUUUGGAGAAAUGAAUUGAAGUUUUAUAUCUUAUUGGUAUUGGAGGUUUUGAUUGAAUUGAAUUUUAUUGAAAUUUCUUAUUUCUAUGGGUUUUGAUCUUUUUGGCGUGAAAUUGUGUUUUUAGGUAUUGUUGGUUGCUGCAAAUGCUGCAAGCAAGCUAGACCCUGAAGCAACCACCAG
rnacentral:lncRNA from 1 species